rnacentral:lncRNA from 10 species
CGGGAGGGCGUAGCCGUAGUCUUGGCCCACGUCAUUCUGUGCCCCGGGUCAGGUCACCGCCCGGAGGGUAUGGGAAGAGAAAUGAAGAAGACUGGUACUCCCAGACCCUUCCGUAUCGAGGACCCCAAUCAACAACCCACCUGGCAUGAUCAACCAGGUACAGAAUCAGUUUUUUGGCUGUAGAUGAUUUAAGAGUUAGGGUCAACUUGUCUUUGAGAUGGGGUCCCACUAUUUUGCCCAGGCUGGUCUUGAACUGCUGGGCUCAAGCAAUCCUCCUGCCUCAGCCUCCCAAAGUGCUGGGAUUACAGGUGUGAGCCACUGUGCCCGGCCCGGAGAACAUGAUCUUAACCAUACUGUCUUCCAAGUGAAAGAUUCUACCUUUCUAAGACAUCUGGAGUCAGACAGACCUGAGUUCAAGUCGUGCCUUCCUCCCCACUUUACUGAACCUUCAGUGAGUCUUUCUACCUCAGAAGGCUGUGAGGAUGCCAUGGGGUAAUGAAUGUAAAGUGUUUAAGUGCUUGGCUGACACUGAGUACUAAAUAAAUA